rnacentral:rRNA from 1 species
GAUGAACGCUGGCGGCGUGCCUAAUACAUGCAAGUCGAGCGAACAGACGAGGAGCUUGCUCCUCUGACGUUAGCGGCGGACGGGUGAGUAACACGUGGAUAACCUACCUAUAAGACUGGGAUAACUUCGGGAAACCGGAGCUAAUACCGGCUCAUAUAUUGAACCGCAUGGUUCAAUAGUGAAAGACGGUUUUGCUGUCACUUAUAGAUGGUUCCGCGCCGCAUUAGCUAGUUGGUAAGGUAACGGCUUACCAAGGCAACGAUGCGUAGCCGACCUGAGAGGGUGAUCGGCCACACUGGAACUGAGACACGGUCCAGACUCCUACGGGAGGCAGCAGUAGGGAAUCUUCGGCAAUGGGCGAAAGCUUGACGGAGCAACGCCGCGUGAGUGAUGAAGGUCUUCGGAUCGUAAAGCUCUGUUAUUGGGGAAGAACAGAUGUGUAAGUAACUAUGCACGUCUUGACGGUACCUAAUCAGAAAGCCACGGCUAACUACGUG